GGGGAUUUAGCUCAGCGGUAGAGCGCUUGCCUAGAAAGCUCAAGGCCCUGGGUUCGGUCCCCAGCUCCG
rfam:Rattus norvegicus chromosome 14, whole genome shotgun sequence.